rnacentral:lncRNA from 1 species
GGAAAUCAAUACAAAAAAAGGGGAAUCAAGGUGGUCUUUUGGUUUUGUUUUCCAUUUCCUUUGCAAGUUUAUUUUCGAAUAUAGCACAUAUAUGUAUAGAUAUUCAAAGAAAACAUAAAAAAAAGUUAACUUUUUGAGAUUGGAGAAGGGAAUCGAGGGGUUGUUUGUUUGAUUUUACUUUAAAAGGCUUUUUCUAGAACUUUGGGUUUUAAAUCGGGGGGAGGGAGAUUGAAAAAAGGAAUCAAAAUUGAAAAGGUGAUUUUGGAUUCAAAUAUUUUUAAUUUCUUCUUUUUUAUUUCGAUUCCAUUAGUCUUUUGCAUUUGAAAACAAAGAGAAAAUAAGAGAUUUACCUUGCGGAUGUGCUAAGAGAUUCCGUCUUCUUCGUUGAAAUCGAAGCGUAGAAGGAAUCUCGUGGUCGAGAUUGUCGUCCUUCGAGGCCCAAAUCUGUUUGUCACCAUUGAUAGAGGCAGAUCGGUGCUUAAGAGAGGGGUGUUAGGAUCGGUUGAGGGAAAAUCAAGAGAGGUUAGGGUUUUGAUUUCUUAGUCGGCCAAAUGAAGAUAGAUAUGGGGAAGGAUUUCCUUCAUUUGCUGUGGAAAGUGGCAGAGUGCCAUUCAAAGGUUUUUAGGGUUUAAUUAAGCGUGCUUUAUUGUUUUGGGGUGAAUUUCACAUUUAGUCCCUCCUCAUUUUGCUGUCAUCUGAUUGAGCCCCAUUUAUGUUUCUUUUGCUUUUUAAUUCUUUCCUAAAACUUAUGCAUUGUUUUGAUUUGAUCCAUGUUUACAUUAUGCGUUCAGAAACCUAGAAUAAUUGCGUUUUUUAUCCUUGCACAUUCACGCGCAUUGCACUUUGGUCUUUAUUUCUAUCUUAAUGGUUUAUUUUAUUUAUUAAUUAUACCUUUUAAUUUGAUUUUAUUUCAAUUAAGUUUUUAUUUCAAUUUAUAUAAUUCAUUAUUUUUUAUUCAUUUGAGCAUUUAUCUUUUAAAUUUUAUUUAUAUACCUUUGGAGUUACUUGGAUAAGUUUACUUCGUUUUUUAAUUAUAAAAUUAUUAUUUUAAAAUUCUCUUUUUAUCAUAUUAUUUUAAAUUUUGGUAUAAUCUUUAAUUUAAAUUACCUUUAUAUUAAUAUAUAUAAUUUAUAUUAAAAUUAGCUUUAUUUUAUAAACAUUAUUAAUUCUAUGUUAUUUUAUAUAUAUAAUUUCUUUUAAAUCUGUUUAUUUGUAUUUCCUUUUAAAUUUAUUGUUUAUUCUUUAAAAAACAUAUUUUAUUAUUUCUUUGUUAUUUAAGAUCCUUAAUUACAUGUAUAUAUUGUUUUACUAUAUAUUGGUUUGUUAUUUCUUCAUGUAUAUUUUACUUUAUUUUAUUAUAUCUUCAUUAUAUAUUGUUUACAUUGAUUUUUUUUAUCAUUACAUGUAUAUUAUCACCUUUAAAUAGAUAUGUUUUGUUUUUAAAAUAUCUUUGUAUGUUAUUUGCUCCAAAUUUCUUCUUUCACAAUAUUUAUUUUAAUAUUCAUUUUCAUAUUCUUAGUUUUAUUUUCAUAUAUGCAAAUCAUUUCAAAUCCUAGCAUGCAUUAUUCAUUUAUAAAUUUUUCAUAUAGUUUUUGAAUUGUUUUGUAUUAUAUUAGCUCUUAGUAUCCAUAUUGCUUUGUAUAUUAUGUGUUGCAUUUUAUCUUUCAUAUUAUUUUUAUAUUAUUAUCUUAUAUUAUUUAUUCAUUUUUUGGUAUUAUUAUAUCAGUUGUUAUUCAUCCAUGCUUAGGAGUUUGGUUAUAUUUUUUGAGGAUUAAUUAUUGUUAGAUUAAUUGGUUUCUUUAGGUUAUAUUAUCUUUAUUCACCAAGUUUUGUACUUUAGUUGUACAUGUUAUCCCAUGUUCAUUAUUUCUCUUGUUUAGUUCAAAUCAAAUAAAUGUGUUUUGAGCUAGUUUACAAUUUUUCUAAAAUAAAGCAAUGUUCAAUAUUUGGAAAUUUGAAGAAUCGUGCCCUACCGUGCUGGGCUUCGAUUCUUCAUUGGACUAAAUAAUUGGACAUCCUUUUGUAAUUUUCAACGUAUAAGCUUUUGUGGGUCAAAAAUCAAUCGUAUUUUCAAAGGUAUGAAGAAUCUUAUCCAAUCGUGCUGGAUGUGAUGCUAUAUAUCUUUGAAACGAGAGAAUUUUGAUGACCAACUUGGACCACACAAAUGUUUUAAAAAAUGAACCAUCUUUCAUUUUUUUUAAUUUUAGACAUAAGGGCAACACUUAAUCAAUUCGGUACCAAUUUUGGGAGUAGUGAGGUUGCUAACCCUUCCUCAUGUGUAACCGGCUCCCGAACCCACUUUGUUUUUCGUAGACCAAAAUUGAUUUUAUAAAAUGUUUUAUUAAGUGAUCCAAUCACACCUAAACGAAAAGAUUGGUGGCGACUCCACAAUUUGUUUUAAAAAGUCAAUCCCCGUUUUUUUUAAAAAUCAAAUCAAAAAAUUGGUUUCGACAAUAAUAUAUUGAAUAAAGAAAAUAAAGAAAUAAAACAUAAAGGAAAAGAAAAAGAAAGGCACGAAUAGCAGAGAAAGAAUGAAGGAAAAAGGGAAAGAAAAAGAAAAGAAAAAUUUAGGGUUUUGAGAUUUCAAACUUGAUUGGUAAGUCAAUUUAAUCCCUUUUCUUGUAAUUUUGGUGUCUAUGGAAUCCUAGGAAGAAAUACUAUUUGAGUUAUGUUGAAAUUUAAAAAGUUUUUGAGUUUUUAGAUGUUGAUUAAGUUGAAUAAAUGGAAGAAAUUAAGUGUAUUUUGAUGGAUAUUUAAGUUAGAAGUGGUUAAAGGAUUAAAUUGUAGAGAGAGACAUAAGUUUUGUUAUAGUAGGGAUUAAAUUGUUUAAAUUGUAGAAUUGAUGUUUUAUAUUGAAUAUUAAGAGUUGAAACUUGGUUAAAGUAGGUAUAAAAUGAAAACUAUAAGGUUAUUUGAAGAAAAAGAAUGGUUAUGGUGGAAGGACCUAAUUGGAAAUAUAGUAAAAGUUAUAUGGAAAUAAAAGAGUGUGUUAUUAAAUAACAUACAUUGAUAAUUUUAAAUGUUAAAUUUUAUGUAGCCAAUGUAGCACCGGAAACAUCAUCGAAAAAGGGGAAAGAAAAAGUGAACGAGGAUAUCGAAUAAACUCGAGAAUUUCGGUUUGUAUUUCUAUAAAAUAUGUUUAAUGUUUUAAUACAAUGUAAUUGUUAUUUUUAAUAAUUAGAAUGUAUAAUGAAUGGUAUGAUGGAAACUGUUACUACUUCUGUAUGGAAAUGAAACGAUUAGAAUACCCUAUUAACAGUGUCAGGCUAGUCGGAUACAAUUGGCAUGCCAUAGGAUUGGAAGUGUUCAGGGAUAUUCUGACUGUGUGUCGAUGAGACACUAUAUGUGUCGACUACUUUGACUGUUCAGGAUUUGUUCUGAAGAGGUACUUUGUACUUGACUAUGACUGUUACUGUUACCCUACUGUGUAUUCUGGUUUCAGCCGAUGAAACAUUGUAUAUUAUCCCUGGUGUGUGGGUUGGAUCCGUGUAUCCGUUUAGGUCCAAGUUAUGUUAAUAGGGGUAAAUGAAAGUACUGAAGACUGUCUGAUAUUGAUUAAGUGACUGUGACUGAUUUACGAAUGUUUAAGUUAUUGAAUGAUAUGAAAUAUAAAUAUUUAUAUAUGAAUUAGUUAACUACAGGAAAUAUAUGUAAAAUGAAUGUAAGGGGUGAAGCUAUUAAGAUUAUGAAAGUAAAGUUUAAGUUACAAUGUAUAUACAUAGCUUAUUAUUGUUUAAGUAUUAGUUUAUAGAAAUACCACUGAGUGCAUACUCAGCGUAUGGUUUGUUUCCGUGCGCAGGUUAGGUAUGAAAGAAAGUUAAGGACUCAGCAUCCAAGCCAAUCCCGAACUCAAAGUGGUGAAGUACUUUUCUUUUGGUAAAAUGGCAUGUACCUAGGCUGAUAGAUUUUAUUUUGUAAAUGAUAAGAAUGAACAUGAAAGAUGUUGAAACAUUUAGUGUGAAAUAUGCAUAUUUUGAAAGUUAAACUUACAUCAGUUUGACUAGUAUGAUAAUGUAGUAUAAUUUUGAUAUGAAUUGUGGUACAUAAUCUUUAAGAGGUAUUGAAGUGAAUGAAUGAAUAUUUGCUAAGUUUGAAUGGCAUAAUGAAUGAUAUUUGAUUUAAGAACUAUUAGUAAAUGUUUGGGCAUGAAUUAUUAGCAUGUAAAAAUAGCUUAGAACUGGUCAAAAAUCAUGUUUUCACACGGCCAAGUCACAUGGGCGUGUGCUUAGGCCAUGUGGCUCUCUAUUUAUGUCACACGGGCUAUUCCCACGGUCGUGUGUGCAAGUCAGAUCUGCCCACGGCCUGGCCCCACGACCAUGGGAACCCCAUAGGCUGGCCACACAGGCAUGUCCCAGGCCACACGGGCGUGUACCCCCAUCUUCAAGGUAAAAUUUCCAAAGUUGUCGGUUUAAUCUCAAAUUACUUCUAAAACAUGUAUUCGGUCCCGUAGACCCAUAUUAGGGACUUUAUAGUGUAAUUUGAGAAGUUCCGAUUUGAAAUGCAAAUUUAUGACUCGAUUUUGUAUAAAUGCUAGUGUAUAAUUCGGUAAUGCCUCGUAACCUUAUUCCGGUGAUAGUUUGGGGUUAAGGGGUAUUACAAAACACUGGCUACAAAUUUUAAAAAUACUCCAUACUCAGGGCGAUGAUUGAACCCUCAACCAUUAGUUAAGAUAGAAGAGACCCUUUCUAUCUCACCUAACUCUUGUGGUUCAGGUUUGUUUAUUUUAUCAGGUACGACAUUUGCAAUUGUAAUGUUAAUAGUGGUUAUUCAACAAAUGAGAAAACGUUGGGAGAAGGUGAUUCAAGGAAUGUUGAUGGGUAAAGAACUUUGGGU